GCUUUCGUGGUGUAACGGUAGCACACUCGGCGCGUAUUCGAGAGGUCCAGGUUCGAGUCCCGCCGAGGGCA
rnacentral:tRNA from 1 species